rnacentral:lncRNA from 1 species
ACAAAAGCUCAUAUAUUAACCUCACAAAAUUCUUUACAUUUACAAAUGGCUCAAUAUUUUAUCCUCUAGUCAUUUCCCACUCUCUGGUCAAGCCUAGUUCUGAAUGACGACAUCUUCUGCGCGUUCUUACGUUAAUCAACGACUGCAUCUAAAAACAGAGGAAGCAAGAUGAGUACGACAAGUCAUACUCAGUAAGCAGGUACUUCACUAUUCAACAUAAUAGUAUGAUGAUGUAGAUCAACAUGUGAACUGAACAAGGUAGCAAUCAUUGAAACAUAUUUUGAUGUAAAUGAAAAAAAACAUAUAAUUGGAUUUAGUGGAAACAACCAGGAAUUUAUUGGCGUCACACAUGACCGCAAGCUUCCCAACCCGGGAGUCACGGGGGUGAAAUUUCACACCUUUACGCUCUUAAGAGGGGUACUCCGACGUCAACAGCCUCGACUAGAACCACACAGGUUCCAGAAGAGCAGAGCUCUUGUACCCACUAAGACCCGGACACCUGAACCUACUGAUGUCGGUCGCUCCUACGGAUCCAUCACCGACACGUUCCCGAACAAAGUCCGUCCUUAGCGGAGAGCCCAGACAGUCCCAUACCUGAACUGUGACCGGUACAAUACGUAUGCCGUCGUGACACCAAUAUAGAUUGACCAAAAUAUGAUAUGUGGCUUAAUCAACGAUAGGAUCACUGGAAUAUCAAUAUGCUCAUGGCUUUACAUGAGUUCCUCUCAAAACAGAAUGAUUCCAUCAACAAAUGGAUUUCGAGGACAACACAUCCCGCUCUCAAGGAUCAAUGGAGGAUCAAUAAAGAUCAAGGUGCAACAAUAAUAUCAGAUAAGCAAAGAAGACAACAAUGAGGUGAGAUCAGGGAGUUUAGCAAAGCAGCUACUUGCCUCGAUACUAGGAAUUAUUCUUCAUAGCAUCAGAUAUAUAUUUUUCCUCGAUGGACCGCUGUUAUGUAAACGCCGCACCGUAGUACACGUAUAUUCUACAUACUCAGCUUGGCCAUCUUCUAUUCGGCUGGCCAACUAUAUCUGUAUACUUUCUUCUAUGUAUGUAUACUCAUUAGCACCUUCCCCUCACUCUCCUUCUACAAGUAUAUUCAUCAGUGUCUCUCCCCCACUCUGCUCUCCUCUGGCUUUCUCUUCUUUCUUUCUC